GCAUACCUGUUCAAGCGUCAUUACACCCCUCAAAGAUAACUCUUUGGCGUUGGGCAAUGCCUAAAGGCAUGCCUCAAAUCAGCGAUGGUGAUAUUCAACCACAGGCGCACACACGUCGUCUAGCUGGCGGGAUAUUGUCAGUCAAUUGAUGAAUUUCUAAUGUUGACCUCGGAUCAGGUAGGAAUACCCACUGAACUUAA
rnacentral:misc_RNA from 1 species